CGCGACACAUGACCCUAUAGGCGUGGUCUUCUCUCCGCCGAGUUUGAGGUUAGUUUGGGACGGAUGACCAUCGAUCAUUUUGAGAAGACAAGCCAGCGCAUGAGCUCUGAUCAGAGGAGUUGGAGUGCGUCAAAAGUUGUUUCGAGAUGGUUAAAGAUAUAAUCGUAUUUGCUGAUGUACAUACACCCUUUGACGACGACUUUAGUGGAGUUUAUCUAACACAAUCAGACUACGAUCUCGUGGCCGCGGCCACUAGAAAAAACGAGCCGCCGACACAAGCUGGUUUUGAAACCCAGACUCUAGUGGACGUCUCUGGACGCCAUUUUGAAGCAUCGAAGGCGGCAGAGCCAAUCGCAUCAGAGCCAGCGAGACCAACCGCAUCAGAGUCACCUGCUACCAUUGAGACCAAUCAACUCACGCCCCACGCCGACCGACAGGAACAUCCACAGACACAGAAUUGGCGGACGCUUUAUCUGCAUACGAAGGCGUGAACCUUCCUCACGAGUCGACAAACAAAGUUAGAGUUAAGCGUCAUGACAUGGGGCGAGGGGUCCAAAGAGGAAGGAGGAGGAGGG